UCCUGUCAAAAACACAGCUCCGUUAGCUACGUCUUGUAGGAAUUCCUUCAAAGGUGGAUUGCGUCCAUCAAAAAUAGGGAUGUGAUAAGUGCAUUGUUGUAGCGUCAUACACUCGAGGACUGAAGCCAUCGCGGCUGUUUAGGGUGGGACUUCAGCGAGGAGCUUUUGAGCAGUACUCCGCCACGGAAGUACUCCCGAAUGAUUUGGCGUCAGGAGUACUACUAGCGGAGAAGUACGGAGGAAUAUUUGGGCAAAGGGUUUUGGGCGACGUUUCUUUCCGAGAGCCAGUUAUGGUCAAAGAAGAGGAUGGCGAUUUGGACGUCAUCGUAGGGGGAGAGUCUAGCUGCAUAGAGGAGGAACGAAUGUACUUAUUUUGAGAGGCUAAAUUAAAAUACUUCCCCUGAAGAAUCUAUUGGCCCGUUCGCCGCCGCGUUUCGGGGCUUAUGCGUUGAGGGAAGAGUACUUUCUCUCGUACAUCCAAGAAUUCGUCUCCGUGGAGGGAGAGAUGAUUUGCUUCCGAUCGCGCUGGCAAUUGUGUUACGAUGUCCCAGUGGAUGAGGCGCUGGAGACAGUGGGCUAUCGUUCCCUACCAGAAGGGCGACAAAUUCGUCGGGAGCGGAAGAGGGAGGCCCGGUUACGCCGUCGUGAGCACACUCGCGUGAUUUGAAACCUUUUCUUUUCCUCUUUUUUUUAAAUUAAAAAUUUUAAAACAUUUUUUUAUUACUUAAAAUUUUUGUUUUUAACUUUAAGGAAAUAGUUAUAUAUUUUUCUCUCAUUUCUGUUUUUUAUCUAAUAUUAGU